ensembl:misc_RNA Metazoa_SRP Metazoan signal recognition particle RNA
ACUUGGCGCAGUAGUGCAUGCCUGUAGUCCCAGCUACUCAGGAGGCUGAGGUGGGAGGAUUGCUUGAGCCCAGGAGUUCUGGGCUGCAGUGCGCUAUGCUGAUCAGGUGUCCGCACUAAGUUCGGCAUCAAUAUGGUGACCUCCCGGGAAGGGUGAACCAGCCCAGGUUGGAAACAGAGCAGGUCAAAACUCCCGUACUGAUCAGUAAUGGGGCUGCGUCCGUGAAUAGCCACUACACUCCAACCUGGGCAACAUAGCGAGACCCUGUCUCUA